CCCUUAGAGUUUGAUCCUGGCUCAGGAUGAACGCUGGCGGCGUGCUUAACACAUGCAAGUCGAACGAGAAAUGGAGAUGGAAACCUUCGGGCGGAAGCCUACAUUUCGAGUGGCGGACGGGUGAGUAACGCGUGGGUAACCUGCCUCAUACAGGGGGAUAACAGUUGGAAACGACUGUUAAUACCGCAUAAGACCACAGCACCGCAUGGUGCGGGGGUAAAAACUCCGGUGGUAUGAGAUGGACCCGCGUUCGAUUAGCCAGUUGGCGGGGUAACGGCCCACCAAAGCGACGAUCGAUAGCCGAUCUGAGAGGAUGACCGGCCACAUUGGGACUGAGACACGGCCCAAACUCCUACGGGAGGCAGCAGUGGGGAAUAUUGCACAAUGGGGGAAACCCUGAUGCAGCGACGCCGCGUGAGUGAAGAAGUACUUCGGUAUGUAAAGCUCUAUCAGCAGGGAAGAAAAUGACGGUACCUGAGUAAGAAGCCCCGGCUAACUACGUGCCAGCAGCCGCGGUAAUACGUAGGGGGCAAGCGUUAUCCGGAUUUACUGGGUGUAAAGGGAGCGCAGACGGUUGCGCAAGUCUGAAGUGAAAUCCCGAGGCUUAACCACGGGACUGCUUUGGAAACUGUGCGACUUGAGUAUCGGAGGGGCAGGCGGAAUUCCUAGUGUAGCGGUGAAAUGCGUAGAUAUUAGGAAGAACACCGGUGGCGAAGGCGGCCUGCUGGACGAAAACUGACGUUGAGGCUCGAAAGCGUGGGGAUCAAACAGGAUUAGAUACCCUGGUAGUCCACGCCGUAAACGA
rnacentral:rRNA from 1 species